GCCUGGCUGGCUCAGUUAAUGGAGCAUGUGACUGUUAAUCUCGGGGUUGUGAGUUCAAGUCCCAUGUUGGGUA
rnacentral:tRNA from 1 species